UGCUCGGUGGCCUAGUGGUUAGAGCAUCUGCCUUAAAUGCGGGAGGUUGUGGGUUCAAAAGCCAGCCAAGUAU